UAAAAACAUUUUAUUAUACAUAGUUUAUUACUGGAAACUUGAAAAACGUUUUUAAAAAUAAAAUAAAAACGUUUUAAAAAUAGUAAAGCGUUUUGAAUUUUAACAAAAACACAAAAUAAUUAAAAAAAAAACUAAAACAACAAUCCAAACAACAAUCCCAACUUAUAUAUCCUAAACUAUCCAUUCAAUCCUAAAAUUUUCUAUCAAACAACCUAAAAUCCGAGAUCUAACAUC
rnacentral:lncRNA from 1 species